AGGACGAACGCUGGCGGCGUGCUUAACACAUGCAAGUCGAGCGGAAAGGCCCUUCGGGGUACUCGAGCGGCGAACGGGUGAGUAACACGUGAGCAAUCUGCCCUUAGCUUCGGGAUAGCUCCGGGAAACCGGAAUUAAUACCGGAUAUGACUAUGGCUGACAUCAGCCACGGUGGAAAGUUUUUCGGCUAGGGGUGAGCUCGCGGCCUAUCAGCUAGUUGGUGGGUACGGCCUACCAGGCGACGACGGGUA
rnacentral:rRNA from 1 species